ensembl:snRNA U6 U6 spliceosomal RNA
GUGCUCCUUUCAGCAGCACAUACACUAAAAUUGGAAUGAAACAGAGAAGAUUAGCACGGCCCCUGUGCAAGGAUGACACGCACAUUCAUGAAGCAUUCCAUAUUUUU